rnacentral:lncRNA from 1 species
AAACACAAAAAGUAUUUAUUUUGACAUACUUAUAAGUAACUUUUUAAAGCUUUACUAAACAUGCAAUGUAUCUACACUUCUUUACGUAUAUUCAUCUCUCCUAUAAAAUUAUUUUCAAUAAGCUUCCAAACAUAAUUUCUAUUUUCUUUCUCAAAUACAGAGGGGAACUAAGGUUGGUCCACCACAGUAUAUUUCCUGCUUAUCCCGGUCCCAGCAUUAUUUUUUGGCUUUAUUUCUGCUUAAAAAUAUUUGGCUUCUCAUUAAAAGUUACUUUUUUUAGGCCAUGUUUGAACCGUAUUUUCUUUAAAAAAAAAAAAUACAUUUUUAAGUAGUGAUUUGAUAUCAUUUCAACCACACAUUUUUCAAUAAAAUAAUAUUACAUUCAAAUUCAAAAAUUUUCUUUAUUUUUUAACCACACAUUUUUAAUCAAUCUACUAUUUCAAAAUACAUUCUUUCAAAAUAAUGUGACUCAAAUACACACUUAAUCAUUUAAGUAUAAAAAAAUCAACUUUUUUUAUUUUUCUUUUGGAAAAGCAAAAGAAGAAAAAAAUCAUGUUCUUACUUACAUCUUAAAAGUUGAAGUUUACUUUUAGCUUAGGGUUAAAGAAACUUGAAUUAGUUUGAAUUUCUUUUAAGAAAUGUAGGAUGCACUUUUAUAGAAAGGCUCAAGUCCUGCACGUCUAGGGGUUGUCACCCAAGAAUAAACCUUAUAGAAAUUCUCAAUUAAAAAUGGGUUCUUGGCUCUUGUCACAAUCAAAAACAAAAUUGACUGCCUAGAUUACUUUUUGAUUAAUUGCUGACAAAUGUAAUAAUUAUAAAUAAAGGCUUUUUAGGCUCCUCAUGGAGUGGUCGAAUUGGUGAAAUAGGUGAGCGCAAAAAUCUUUGAUCACGAGUUCGAUUCCCUCUACCAACACUUUCUCAGUUAAGUCUAUCGCACCGAACUUGCCUAGUACGAUUUACCUGGCUCGCGUGAUUUGUAGACUAUUGCAUCAUCCUGAGAAUUUACUCAGUGCAUAUCCGAAGGGUAGCAGCUACGGGUUCCCCGUCAUAAAAAAAUAAAAAAAUAAAUGAAGGCGUUUUGGUCACACUUUUCCUUUUUC